GUUCCAAGAGCCGCAUGGCCCAUGGAAGAAAAGGUGGCCUCUACCUGUAAGCUAUCGCCUGAAGAGGGGUUUGCGUCUGAUUAGCUGGUUGGAGGGGUAACGGCCCACCAAGGCGACGAUCAGUAGCCGGUCUGAGAGGAUGAACGGCCACACUGGAACUGAGACACGGUCCAGACUCCUACGGGAGGCAGCAUG
rnacentral:rRNA from 1 species